rnacentral:sRNA from 1 species
GCCAGGUGUGGUGGCUCACACCUGUAAUCCCAGCACUUUGGGAGGCUGAGGUGGGGGGAUCACCUGAGGUCAGGAGUUCGAAAACAGCCUGGCUAACAUGGUGAAACCCCACCUCUA